ACAUGUCCAUGAUAGCUAUCUAAUAACUAUAGUUAUGCUUGGUAAUGGUUUGGCUUAUCAUGUUCAUGUCUAUGCAGAAGAAGACUGUAGGAGGAAGUGGAGAGGACUCAGGGACAGGUACCAGGGAGAGAGAAGGGCAGAGAAAGAGAAGAAGAGGUCUGGGUCAGCAGCUUCAGGCCAACAGCCUUGGUGCUUCUGCCACAUCCUUUUCUGGAUCCAUUUAUUGUGCCUAGGGCAACGAGUGGCAAUAUUACAGCCAGACUCUCUACGACCUCAUCCAUUGUGUUGUCGCCACCGGUGCAUCAAGACCCUCUACGUCAUUUACAAGUGAGACCACCACCUCCACCAGUACAGCGAGACCCUCUACAACAUCUACAUCAUCCACAAGUAUGACCACCGGUGCAGCCAUGGAAGAUGAUGAAAUGGAGGAAGCACCUCUGGAUCUAGGACCACCUGAGAUUAUUAUGUACCUCACAGAAGUGACCACUGAGGACCUCGUUGAACAGGAUGUGGCAGUGGAGACAAACGAAGAGGAACAACGUCACACCAGGCGUCGGAGGAUGCUCUCCUCCAAGCCGUCGAGAGGGAUGCAGCACAACCUGAUGCUCACAGGAAGGAGGAUGAAGAGACCCUCUUUUACCAUGAGCCUGGUGCCAACACUGAAGAGGCUGCCUCAGCGAACAAAAGCAGCAGUCAAGGUUAAAAUGUAUCAGCUGCUUUUCGAAGCCGAGUUCAAUGGUACAAUUGUUUUGUUUGUUACAUCACAGGUAGUGUCAUAAGUGUGCGACAGUGAAGUAAAGUAGGUCAUUUUUACAGUAUACUCAUGUUGGCUAAUUGGUAUUUCAGAUCAAAGUAUUAAUAUGAGGCAAAUGUAUAGCUGUUGUUUCUGGGUUAGAAAAUAUCCUAAAACAACAGUUUGCUGUCUAAAUAUUUGCCUGUCACAUUCAUCUUUUGAUCUGAAAUACAAAUUCCAUGAGUAAACAGCACGUAUUACCAACUUUACCACACUGUUCCAAUUUAUGCCUCUAACAACCAUAUACUGCUUGUAUAGUGUAAACAUAAAUCUCACCUUUUAUGGUGUUCUAUUAUGUUAAGCGUGUAUGUGUUGUUUUUCUCUUCCCUUCCAUUUAGCCGACCAGCUCACAGGAAGGUCAGGAAGAGGAGAGGAGUUGUCUGGUUGUUGUCUUUCCUCUUCCCUUCCAUUUAGCCGACCAGCUCACAGGAAGGACAGGAAGAGGAGAGGAGUUGUCUGGUUGUUGUUUUGACCUCCCUCAGUGUACCUUUCUUUUCACACAUGUCAGUUCCGUUUAAAUUCAGUCAAUUCAUAAAGUCGUUUGUUUCUAAAGUCUUAGGAUAGCAUUCAUUAUUAGUGUUACGUACAUUUCUGAAUUGACAGAAUUGAAACUUAUAUACCGGAGAAUUCACAGAUGCUCUUGUUGGUCUCUUACGAGACUAAAGGUGAAUAUAUUUAUUUCAUUUAAAACCACUUCAAACCAGGGUGUUGAAACUUUUUGUGAAGUUAAGUUCCAUCGACUGGUCCAUGGGCCAUUUGUUUGUUUAGCUGUGUUAUGGCUACAUAUUAUUUAUAUUUUUUCAGAAACAGACACACAUACCUCUCCUCCACUCCUCUCUGGUACCUCAGAUCUCCAGUGCCCUGUCCUCUCGCUCUUUAUGGCCAUGCCUGAAGUUCCCUUACUAUGUCUAGGCUUUAUGAGUAGUGCCUGUAUCUGUCUGCAGGUGUGCCAAAGAUACAUGCUCUUGUUGUUCUCUUACAGAUUACAGGCUACACAUUAACUUUUUACAUUUAUUUGUCGCGCAUGCACACACACACACACACACACACACACCAUGUUCUUUCCUGUACUUGAAUACUUAUUAAAAUAUGUUUUCAUAGUCAUUUUCAUUUUCCCACCUGUAUUUUGUCAGGCCAGUGAACAUGGUGGUAAACUGUACUAUUUGUAUGGACCCUGGGUUACCUAGGUUACCCUUUCCCUUUGUUAUCAUACUAACUGUAUGUCGUAUAACCUUAAUUAGUGCUCCCGCUCACCUGAUGUACCAUGCCAGGUGUGUAUAAUAGGGGUUAAGGUGUGGUCUUCACUCCCAAAGUUCACUUAAAUAUAGCUUCCAAAUGAAGAGAGACAAUGAUAUAUAAAGUCAUCUGGGGGAAAAAACUAUUUUAUGGACAACGGUGGAUGGUUCUUAAAAUAACCUUUGUGUUAUGGGGCUCUUAAGAAAGCUGUUUCACUCCACGGCAUACUGCCAUGGGACUUCACCUGCUGGUGAUGAGAAGUAGGUGGUCACCUGGAGUGCCUGUCUGGGGGCGUGGUUGGCACCUGCCCUGGUGACAUCAGGUAGGUGAACAUUUGGCGUGCCCAUCUCCAUCCGGAGCGGCUCCUGGAAUGACCUCCGCAGGUAGUUGUGGAGAACACAUGUGGCCUUCACCCAGGCAUCGACAUUUGAGGGGCUGAGACCAAGCACUCUCUGAUACAUUCUCCAUCGGGCUGCCAGAAUCCCAAAGGCGCAUUCAACAACUAACCUUGCCCCGAACAGUAAUUUGUUAAAGAUCCUUACAGGCUUUGGCAAUGGCAGCUGGCGUCCAGCGUAGGGCCUCAUGAGGUUGGAUCUUAAAGGGAAGGCCUCAUCGCCGACGAAGACGUGGGGAACAGUGAUGCAGGUGGUGGAAUAUCCAGGGUGCCAUCCUGAAGUGCCUGGCCACAGGCAGAGUCCCGGAGGGUCCCGCAGUCACUUCCCUCGCCAUUAGCACAAACAUCGACAACACGGAAACAGUAGAUUGCGUCUACUACAGCCAAGAGUACAAUUGAAUAUGUACCCUUGUCGUUGUAGAAUUGCAAAUCGCCAACUGGGCUGAUGGACUCACGGUAGUUGGUAUCCAUCUGGGCGAUCCUGGCUCCAACCAGGUGAUCGAACUGGCUUCGGUCCAGACAAAAGUAACUUCGGAGUUCCUCUCCAAACAGCCGAAGCUCUUGAAUGAGGAGGUGGAACUCCCCUGCCUGCUUUCGGGACUUUAACCAUCUCUGGACAAACACGGACCUGCGCUUUCGGCGGGGCUGGUCCCGGCCCAACAGCGCGAUAAAGACCGCCUUCCUCAACGCUGGUCUCACACUAUAUAGGGAACAUGGUGCUAUUUGGAAAG